rnacentral:sRNA from 1 species
AAUUAAAUUAGUAUUUGACUUUUUAAUCCUUAAAGAGAUAAAUUAAUUUACUCUUUAAAAUUUUAUUUCUAAUGGCAUACCUAUGUAAUUACUUACAAAAAUUAAGGUUACAUUUAAAAUGUACUUCCCAAAUAAUAUAGUAGGAUUCUUUCUUUUUUUUUACUAUUUAAUAUUGG